rnacentral:rRNA from 1 species
CAGCCGCCGCGGUAAUACGUGCUCCCUAAGUGGUAUCCCCUUAUAUUGGGCCUAAAGCGUCCGUAGCCGGCUCGGUAAGUCUUUGGUGAAAUCUGCAGGCUCAACUUGUAGAAGUGCCUAAGAUACUGCCGGGCUCGAGACCGGUAGACGUCAAAGGAAUUUCUUGGGUAGCGGUGAAAUGCUAUGAUCCAAGCAGGACCACCCGUAGCGAAGGCGUUUGACGAGGACGGCUCUGACGGUGAGGAACGAAAGCUGGGGGAGCGACCCGGAUUAGAUACCCGGUUAGUCCCAGCUGUAAACGAUGUGGACUUGGUGUUCCAUGAACUUUGGGUUCAUGGGGUGCCGAAGCGAAGGCGAUAAGUCCACCGCCUGGGGAGUAUACUCGCAAGGGUGAAACUUAAAGGAAUUAGCGGG